AAAGCAAUUUUGAGGCAAAACAUGAAACUGCUACUUAUUAGUUACUCCUCUGGUUGUUGCUACGUAACGAAAGAGUGAGUGAGUUGCUAGGUAACCAAAGAGUGAGUGAGUUUUGGCAGUUGGCUGAUUUUCAAAACGUGAGAGCCCACACAGGAGUCGAUAAAAAAAUGUUAGGUAUAACGGUUGGAUCGCACCGUGUGUGGUGUCCAGCCCCACGGAAGGAGCAACACGCCACACACGAACCGAUUUCACUCAUCGACAUUCAGAUUCCAGUCAGACAAUCCCAUAAAAAUCCCUCUUUAUUAUACCCGAAUUUAAAGUAAACAAAGACGACUGACAAUGUAGAAUUAAUAGUGAUAGUUUGUGAGCUUACUCUGAGCGAUAAAAGAC